ensembl:lncRNA
GAAAUGAAUGCAAAGUGCAGGUGUGAGGAGGAGGAUAAUGCUGAGCACAGCUGAGGGGUGUCUUGCUGGGAGAAGGGGCUUUGCAAGGUUCUGCUCCACCUUAGUCCUGUGAAGCCCUAGAUGUAUUUUGUGAUAGAUGUCACUGGGUACAAAUAGGUAUGGGCGGAAACAGUAGACUCGUGCUUACCACAUGGCUACUGAGCCAUACUGCUUUUAGUCUCUCUCUCUUUUUUAAUUCUUUUUAUUUUCCAUCUUUCCUGAAACGAGGAUUAGUUUUGAUAGGUGGGGGAAUAGCAGCCCCCUUCUCCAGCAAGCUCAUUGGUUGUAAUGAGCUAAGUUUCCAUGUAGAGAAAGCAUCUGUGGUGCUGCUGUGUGCAGUCUCUUAAGUCUUACAUGAGCUACAAAAUUACUUGCACAGUCUGGGCUCCUAACAGCCUUAGAGCAAAUUUUCAGAUUGAAUUUUGAAAGGCUGCUGAUUAGGAAUGUUUUGGUGUGAUAUUUUGAACUUAGAGUUUUGAGUUUAGUUGUGUUGAAGUCAGCAAGGAUUGGUAUCUGUCCUCUCUUCCCCACCCCCUUACAAGUGGGGGGAGGGUGAGAGCAGCUGCUGCUUGAUUAGUUUCACCUGUGUGGGGAGAGGGAGUGGCAUUUAGGUAUAUUUAAGUAGAUGAGGGAGCAAACAGCACCUGAUCUUGUGGAGGUUUGUUCGUGAGCAGAGGUCGUGCCAGCAGCUCCUCUAGGAACUGUGGGUGUGCUUUUCAUGGGCCACGAGAGGAGGUGAAGCAACCUGCUUUGAAGAGUGGAAAGGAGCGCUUUGCCUAGUUUGGAAGACUGGUGACAUGAAAGGGCGGAGGGUUAAAAAGACUCUCAGCAUGAAUUUACCAUCAGCACAGCUGACUUCAGUUCUUCAGAAGGGCAAAUACUUCUGGGCUGUCAGAGGAAUGAAGCUCAGUUAUUUCAGAGCGUGCGCCCUCAGUGAACGUGAGUAGACAGUGUGUUCUCUUAAUUUUCCAAAAAGGUUGGUCCUGAGAGCUGACAUUCCUAAAAAGUUAACGAGUGGCUGAAACUGAAACAUAUGCAACUAAUGGAAAUCUGGCCUCUUUGUCUGUGCGAGUGUAAUAUGGUUGGGGUUAUCUGCCUACAGAGAUGUGACUUGGAGAGCACGGUCAGGUUCCACCCAGGGACAGCUUACUCAGCACUUCUCCUUGGCACUGGAAGGUAUCUCAUUUGCUUUUGGGCAUAAAGAUUCUGGUGAACAGCUUGGUCAAGAACUGUGUACACUUUUCUUUGUAAGUUAGCAGCAGUCCCACAGUGUAUACAGUAAUAUCUUAUAAACAUCGCUUUGUAUAGUACACUGUGUACAGAUCUACAGUGCUUCUUACUCUGACUCCAAGUACUUAGCUCCAUGAGAGUUUCUUCUCUGCUAGCUCUUGAUAAAGGUCAAAUUAAUUGAAAAAAUGAAAUGCUUUCUCUUGAGUAUUGCAAGGUGAAUGUAAUUCACAGUGGGCGUGUGUUUUCAGUUUGAAAAUUGUCUUUUGAUUUUGUUUUUCUCUAAAAGAAAACUCACCCAACUGCCAUAUAACCUCAAGGAGUGAAUAUUCAUCAGCUUUAAAAUACAAAUUGCUAUUUUCCUGUAUCACUGGCAAAAUAUUCCUUCCUCCCACCUCUGUUCCCAGUAGGCAGCCUGGGUGGCAGUAUAAAUAAAAUACAAAUUAUUUUUUAUUUGGAAAUGGUGUUCUGCCCUAGCAGAGUGGAGUUUAGUUAGUCUUUCCCUCUGUGUUGUUAAGCAAGUUGCACCCUGGUCAUGGACUCACGGAGUACCAUGGUGAGAAUGGAAUGGUGAAGCUGAGUGAUCUGUCUGUAAUUGAAGUACCUAAAUGGCAAGGAUGGUAAGAGUAGCAGAAGGGUUUUUGUUAAAACAGAGGAGGGCAAAGAAAAGGAAGAGUAGGGUGCAAAGCCAAGAGAAGGUAAGUCACAAGCUUCCCAUUGCAAACUUGAGAAAGUUUCUGUGUCCUUCAGUUUUAGCUUCCAAGUUGUAUAGCAACAGUACUGGAAUUUCUCAGUCUUACUGUGAUGAACUGCAACACAUGCAUGAACAACUGGGUUUGUAGAUGGUAUCUAUAUCUAGAAAUGCAUUUAAAAAAGAAGCAUAGUAAACAUUGUCAGUGGAAAUAACCUGUGUACCAAGUGAAGAAGGGACUGCAUGCGUUCAUUAUCACUGUGGGAUUCUUUCUGUCAGACAUUGGUAUUGAUCUAGUUUAUCAGUGGUCAAUCAUCUUUCAGAAGACAAAAAAAAAAAACGAACAAAAAAACCUAACCCCACAACACCAUGAUAAUCCUCACUUCAAAAAGCAUUAUUUCUUGUUGGAAUGUCAUGAAGUGGUCAUCAGGCUCCUGGAAAAACCUUAUUUUUCUCCACUGCGAAUUAAUUCAAAUUUUGAGUAAGGAAGCAAAUACCUUGGUGCAAAGUAAAGAAUAGUAUAAUGUGUAAAGUGAUACUGAGAGGCUCGUUGAAGUCUUCUUGAGAACUGAAUUGGCAGCAGUUGUUGCACAAUUUAGACAAAUGCUAGUAAGUAAGGCUAGGAAGGAACCCAAGGAGCUUGGAGUUUUGAGACAUCACUAAUAACCCUUACAGAUGAAGAAAUGUUUUUAUGGGCAUUGUGUGAGAAAAGUGGGUAUUUUUGCUCUGUGACUGAGAAGUUUUCAAACAGGGUCUGAAAUUCUGGAAAGCCUGAGGAUGGUUCUCUUUAUGAACACAUUUACUGCAUUUUAUCUGUAGCAAGUAAGUCAGCUAGCCACAGAAAUUCAGGUUAUUCAGAGCAUCUUACAAUUGUUUUAAGUUGUUUCUCUCCUAGUCCUUCCUUUUGAUUUUAAUGCUGCUGAAAGUGGGAGUAGAGAAGGGAGGCUGUAAAAAUAUUGUGUCCUUGACUUUACCAGUGAAAGGUGAAAUUCAACCAGUUGAUACUGAAAGUCUGGCCAAAAAUAGAUGGAUGAUGUUUAGAUCGGUCUUUAAAUGGUAGUCAGUACAUUAAACCCAGGUGUUGCAGCUUAAAUAUAGCAUCAAUUACUUAAAAAAAAAAUAAAAUAGACACAGCUGAUCAGGCUUUAUUCACAUCACUUUUAGGACUCUGAAGAGCCUAAACAGAUUAGAAAGCAAGCAUGUUUUUUUGGAAGGCAAAUUAAAGCUAUAGGGGGUUGAAAGGCAGUUAGACCUCAGUAUCAUGCUCAGACAUCUCAGAAGCAGUCCAUCAGUAUUAUUUGAUGCAUAUGCAAAAUGAUAUAUUCUUCUAUCUACACCCCAGUCGAUCUUAAUGCCCCAGCAUUUGCAGAGUUAGCAUACAGUGCUACCAGCGACCAGCAGGUUUUUUUUGGCAUGUUGACUUUUUUUUUUCUCUAUGGCCAAAAUGUUGUGAUAAGUAAUAUUUUAAUUAUUGCAGAUAGGGUCCAAUGUUGGAGAAAAGAAACAAAGCACAGCGAGAGCUGUGUGCAGAACCUUCACAGGGUAGCCGUGAAAUACCUCGACCUCACUCGCUCAUGAGAUGUGCAAAGUCUUUUAAAGUCAGCAUGGAGAACUCAGUCAGCAGUUUCAGCAUUACCGAUUUGUGAAUAUUACUGCCUGCAAUGAUAGUAUUCAAGCAGAAGGUUGGGUUUGUGAUCGCUUCUCUGACAAACACUGAACUCUCUGUGACUGACUUUGAUGUUUUAGCUCAUGCUGUCAGAAUUAAAUGUAUAACUAAUAAGGAAGAGGAAAGCAACCAACUUUAUUCAGAUAGAUUUGGAUCUUUUAAAUGGCUGGCCCACUAAGUGGAAAAUACUAUUCAGUGUUUAACAUAGAGAAAUGUGAAAUAAUCGAUGUGUAGGCAAUGAACCGAAGUGAAGAGUGUAUAUACAGUGGAACAGCUAUGCAGUAUAAUGACAAGGAAAGGAUUUAAAGGUUGUUAUAAACAAAUCCAUGAAGAUAUUAGCGUGGUCUAAGUGCAAAAAAAGCCAACGUGAAAUGGAGCUGUACAAAUGAGCAGAAUACAAAUGACAACAAGGACUAUUAAUAUGGGACUCUUUUAUUGCUUUAUUUUAAGCAGUACUGUGAGUUCCAUUUUUGAAGUUGAGUAUUGCGGUUAUAAACCUGCUUUGUAUCUGAACAGUCAUAUUGGCAUUUGGAUUUCUAAAUUGAGAUUCUCAUUUUUAAACCCUGGUGCACAAUAUUUGCUCCCGUAAUUUCUAUUAACUGUCUGUCUUUUAGAGAGCUUCUUCAGUGUACACAUCACAGUAAUUGUUUGUACAAAAGACCAAUUACAUAUUUAGCUGGCUUCUUGAAGGUACAUUUACAAUAAGUGGACCCACACAACUGGAAUGAUUGUUUAUACAAGUAAUGGUUGCACACUUAUGGAAAUCUAGGACUCCUUUCUAAAGCCUGCUAGAGUACUUUGCCAUGGGUUUAACACACAGUGUGUGAAAGGUUUUGAUAUUACUGUGGUUUGUUUCAAAAUGUGGUGCCUCAGGUAGCCUAAUCGUGGCUGAAUGUUUGCAUCAUGCUUGCAGAAGUAACCCACAGAAGUAACCCACAGAUGCUUGACGGGUACCUGAAAAUACGAUUACUCCUUUAGGCCAGACUUUUUUCACCAUCAAAUAAAACCUGGUGAUUUCCUAAGCACAGUUUUGAUUGAUUGGAAUGUAAUAGGUAGUGGAUGUUCAUGAUAAAAAUUAGUGGACGCAGAGAGUGUGUUUCUUAAGAUGUGACAAAUGGUACUUUUCUUUUCUGGUUGCCAUAACAUCCUCAGAUGCCCCUGAUUUGUGUGUGAGGUGCCUUUGCUUAGUGCUUCCCAUGCAGCAUCUUACAAAGAGAGAAAGCUGCACUAUUUAAACCUGGCAGAGCUGUACAGUACAUUAGGUCAGGUAUCCACAUUAAAUUUGAGUAUGCCCUAGGGGAUAGUUGAAGAAUUGCA